rnacentral:rRNA from 1 species
AGAGUUUGAUCAUGGCUCAGGACGAACGCUGGCGGCGUGCUUAACACAUGCAAGUCGAACGAUGAAGUGGAGCUUGCUCCACGGAUUAGUGGCGAACGGGUGAGGAACACGUGAGAAACCUGCCUCGGAUUUUGGGAUAACAAAUGGAAACGUUUGCUAAUACCAAAUAACGUCGGAGAGUCACAUGGCUUUCUGACGAAAGGAAUUCCGAUUCGAGAGGGUCUCGCGGCCUAUCAGCUAGUUGGCGGGGUAAUGGCCCACCAAGGCAACGACGGGUAGCUGGUCUGAGAGGAUGGUCAGCCACACUGGGACUGAGACACGGCCCAGACUCCUACGGGAGGCAGCAGUGGGGAAUCUUGCGCAAUGGGCGAAAGCCUGACGCAGCAACGCCGCGUGCGGGAAGAAGGCUUUCGGGCUGUAAACCGCUUUCAGCAGGAACGAAAAUGACGGUACCUGCAGAAGAAGGAGCGGCCAACUAUGUGCCAGCAGCCGCGGUGAUACAUAGGCUUCAAGCGUUGUCCGGAUUUAUUGGGCGUAAAGAGUUCGUAGGCGGUCGAGUAAGUCGGGUGUGAAAAUUCUGGGCUCAACCCAGAAACGCCACCCGAUACUGCUUAACUUGAGUUCGAUAGGGGAGUGGGGAAUUCCUAGUGUAGCGGUGAAAUGCGCAGAUAUUAGGAGGAACACCGGUGGCGAAGGCGCCACUCUGGAUCGAUACUGACGCUGAGGAACGAAAGCAUGGGUAGCAAACAGGAUUAGAUACCCUGGUAGUCCAUGCCGUAAACGGUGGGCACUAGGUGUGGGAUUCUAUUAA